UCGGACUAGAGACCGGCGCACGGGUGCGUAACGCGUAUGCAAUCUACCUUUUACAGAGGGAUAGCCCAGAGAAAUUUGGAUUAAUACCUCAUAGUAUAUAGACCUGGCAUCAUGAUUAUAUUAAAGUCACAACGGUGAAAGAUGAGCAUGCGUCCCAUUAGCUAGUUGGUAAGGUAACGGCUUACCAAGGCUACGAUGGGUAGGGGUCCUGAGAGGGAGAUCCCCCACACUGGUACUGAGACACGGACCAGACUCCUACGGGAGGCAGCAGUGAGGAAUAUUGGACAAUGGGCGCAAGCCUGAUCCAGCCAUGCCGCGUGCAGGAUGACGGUCCUAUGGAUUGUAAACUGCUUUUGUACAAGAAGAAACACUUCUUCGUGAAGGAUCUUGACGGUAUUGUAAGAAUAAGGAUCGGCUAACUCCGUGCCAGCAGCCGCGGUAAUACGGAGGAUCCAAGCGUUAUCCGGAAUCAUUGGGUUUAAAGGGUCCGUAGGCGGUUUAAUAAGUCAGUGGUGAAAGCCCAUCGCUCAACGGUGGAACGGCCAUUGAUACUGCUAGACUUGAAUUAUUAGGAAGUAACUAGAAUAUGUAGUGUAGCGGUGAAAUGCUUAGAGAUUACAUGGAAUACCAAUUGCGAAGGCAGGUUACUACUAAUGGAUUGACGCUGAUGGACGAAAGCGUGGGUAGCGAACAGGAUUAGAUACCCUGGUAGUCCACGCCGUANACGAUGGAUACUGGCUGUUGGAAGCAAUUUCAGUGGCUAAGCGAAAGUGAUAAGUAUCCCACCUGGGGAGUACGUUCGCAAGAAUGAAACUCAAAGGAAUUGACGGGGGCCUGCACAAGCGGUGGAGCAUGU
rnacentral:rRNA from 1 species